ensembl:lncRNA
AUUGCACACUGAAGGAGACGAAUAAGAUUUGUUCAUGCAUGCCGGGAUACAACUGGAGAGAGGACAUGUGCCAAAAUUAUGACUGUUGCAAUAACAGCUGCACGCUAAAACUUAAUGACAUUGCUGUAUGUCUGCCUGAAAAAAGAGGUAGAUUAUUGUUCUUAUAUGGGCACAGGAUUUCAACACAAAAAUAAGUAAAUAAAUAAUGGUCAUUAAAUGCUGUGAUUCUUAUUUUUUUACAGUAAGCAUCAACGGAUUAACUUCAAUAAAUAUGUCUUGUGAGACUUUAUGUAUUCCAUAUGAAAAAGGUUUUCCAAAGUACAAUGCGGAGGAAAAGAUUAUUAUCGAUACGCUUCUUGCACAAUUCAGCACACUGAAAUAUUUUGAUUCUCUGAUUAUCAACGGUUACAGGUAAGCAUUAUACCAAGCACCUCUGCCAGCUACUGUUUCCUGUUCUUUCCACACACAUAAAACACUUUAGAAAUAGAUUAAUGACAGAAAAUAAAGUAAUUUUUCCCAUUUGAUUUACAGGUCUGGCAGUGUGAUUGUAGAUUAUACAGUGCAGAUAAUGAGUUCAGUUACGAUUCCAGAAUUGGAUAAAUUAGCCAGGACACUGGGAAAUACAACGUUGAAUUCUACACUAGUAACAACAGGUAACGCAUUUACUUAUUGUGAAUUAUUUCUAACUUUUGUAUUAUUUACAAUACUCCUCACUUACAAUGUUACAUGAUAAAGAAAAGCCUUAUUAAGCUUGUAAUUUUCUCCAAAGGCCUCAUCACUAUUAAAGGUCCUCAGAAGGCAAUUGACAUUGGCUCCUCUGCAGAUAUAACUUGUACUCCACCAGAUAUUCUGGGAGAGGUAAAGUGGUUCUUAACAGAUGUGAAGAACAAAACAACAGAGAUCACAGAAGGAAAAGAGGCCGCCUUGACUAAGGCCGCCUCGACUAAGACCAACUUGCCUGAGACGAACAUUGUUAAACUAAAAGAUAUUUCAGGAAGCUGGAAAGGAACACUUAAAUGUGUGUACCAAAAAGGGUUCAUAAAACACACAGCAAGUACAAAGCUGGACAUAGCACUUCUGCCAGAAAUACAGGCUAUGAGCAACCCCCAAUUUCCUGACUGUAGAGAUGCAAAUAACCAAUUUGAUGUUGUAAUUGAGUGCAAAAUUUUAAACGACGGCGAAAAUUACAGUGUUACAUGGGAUAGUAAUUUUACUAACCCCCAAAAAGAACUACGUAAGCAUAUCUCAUUAUCAUUUCUGCUCUCUCAAUGCAAACAUACUCAGCAUGAACAAUGUGAAAAAUUCAUGGUUUUUACACACUUGAUGAUAAGCAAUUUCACAUUACUGAAUUCUCUAGAAAGCAAUGGGAAUUAUUUAUCUUACAAAUUAAAGGGGACCAUACACUGUGUACAGAAAAAAGAGGCAGAGACUGUCACGUGUACAUUCACAAACACCAAAGCCGAAAAAAACAGAAUCAGAUCUCAGACUGUGGAGAUUCCCAUUAUUAAUGGUAAGUUGGUUGAUGUUAUUUAACAUUUUCCUUAAUUCUAUAUCUUGUAAAGUUGCAGACAGUAUUUUACGAGUGUGAUUUUUUUCUUUCUUUCAAUAUUACAAUUGACCAGCCUGACAAUGGUGUGAGUUUGGGGUCGAGUAUGUUAAUCUGAACAGUGGUCAUGUUUGGGAUAACUCUGGGGAUAAAUGGUGGUGCUAAUGGUUCAAAAACUAUCCACUUCACCUUACAUUUAUAAAAUAUAAAGUAUAUAGAUACAGUACAAUAUAUUGAAUAUAUUUAAAUGAAUUUUGACUGAAAUAUCACAUUAGCAUCAUCAUUAAGUGUUUUCAUUUGAAUAAUUUUCUGUUUUUAUUUUGCUCAGCCUAAUGUCCAAACUUAUGGAAGUCCAUUUCUGCUAAAAGGGGAAAAAAUAUCACACUUUGGUAAAUCUCUAUUAUGAAAAGAAGUCUAAAUAAGAACAAGCUGAAAUUAAUUAUUUUUUAUAAUUAAUUUAUGCCAUAACCAUGACUUUUUUCCAUGUAAUGGGGUUUUCAAGCUCCAAAAUGACAACAACAAAAACUUGGAGUGCAUUUGAAGAUGAAUUAUGCCUUUCAGGCUAUUCAUUACAUAAAGCUAUUGUAUGACUUGGAAUUACUUUUGUGCUGCUCUUUUGUUCAUUUAAAAUCCAAGAGUUUUUUGCAAAAGAGUGGCUAGGAUAUUCACCAAAAAGUCCUUGGAAGAAAGGCAUAAAGGUUUGGAAUGACAUGAUAGUGAUUUAAUGGGGAGACAAAUUAAAUUUUUGAGUGGACAGUGAAUUUUUUCCUGCAAACAGAUGUACAUUGUUUACUUAAAGGGAUACUCCUCCCCAAAAUGAAAAUGUAGUCAUUAAUCCCCAUUAAUACCCACAUGUCGUUCGAAACCCGUACAAGCUUUGUUUGUCUUCGGAACACAAUUUUAUAUUUUGGAUGAAACCCAGGAGGCUUGUGACUGUCCCAUUAACUGCCAAGUAAAAUAAACCGUAAAGGUCCAGAAAAAAAGCAGAAUAGUCCAUCUGCAAUCAGUGGCUUAAUUGUAACAUUAUGAAGCGAUGAGAAUACUUUUUGUGCAUGAAGAAAACAAAAAUAAUGACUUUAUUCAGCUAUUCCUCUCCUCUAUAGCUGAGUAAAGUCAUUAUUUUUGUUUUCUUCGUGUACAGAAAGUAUUCUCGUUGCUUCAUAAUGUCACGGUUGAGCCACUUAUGGCAGAUGGACUAUUCUGAUGAUGUCUUUCAUACUUUUCUGGACAUUGGCAGUGUAAUUUACUUGGCAGUCAAUGGGACGGUCACAAGCCUCCCGGUUUUCAUCCAAAAUAUCUUAAAUUGUGUUCAGGAGAUUUUACGGGUCAGAAUGACAUGGGGGUAAGUGAUUAAUGACAACAUUUUUAUUUUGGAGUGGAGUAUCCAUUUAAACAUUAGAGACUUGUAUUUAUAAAAACAAAAAUAAUGAGAAAAACAAAUCUGUAGUAUUUCAUUUCUUAAUACAGCCAAUUCGAAAUUCUGUGAAGGAGAAGGUGUGUGGCCCAUCACAAAAAACGAUUAUACGGCCAAACUGUCUUGUACGUACAAUGCUGUUGGUCUGACAAGCAGAAAUUGCUCUAACCAAAAAUGGGGAACGGAAAUCUCUUCUUGUGUGAUUACUGACCUACAUGAUGUUCAACUGGCUGUAGAGGUAUUCUUCAAUAUUCAUUCAUCUAUUUCUCAAUGCUUGCCAGAUUAACCUUUAAUACUAAAUGCUUGUUUUCUUUUUAUAAUAACAGAUAUUAGAUAAAGGUAUUGGCUUUAUCAAGGACGAUGCUUACCACCUUUUCAGACAAAUACAGCUUUCAACCAUUAAGGAGACGUUCAACUCAUUUUCAAAUAUUGAUACAA